GGGAGAUUUGAGUGGAUCGGUUGAUAUGUGUAGGGUUUACUGGAUCGAUUUGUUUUCUUUGCAAAUCUACGCCCGUAGAUCGGUUUGGUUCCUGCCUUUUAGUGGUUGUCUGCGAGACCACCUUCGAACUCCGAUUAUAUCAAUCUCCUGAGUCUACAAAAUCUGCACUCCGCCAAAAUCGAACCUUUCCUCUCUGAGAUACCAUCGUUUAUGAUCAAUCUUCUGGGGGCAAAGGAGAAGGAACAAAGAAGCGGAGAAGCUCGUGGAUUCAGCGUGGUUCUCCAUCUUCAAGCUGGUUUUCUUCUCUCUGGAAAGUUCCAACUACAUUUAGGGGGUUGGAGCGAUCUUAAAGGCAUUCUUUCUGAUUUCUGGGUUCUGAUUUCUGGAGUGCUCUAUUGGAUUCACUAUAUCAGAUCUAACAUGAUCGCUUGUCUUUAUUCUGCGAGAGCUGAGUUUUUUUUCUUCCGUGAGAAUUUUCUCCUGAAGAUUGUGCAGUCUCAAUAACCAACAUUGUUCGCAACCAUGAGACUGAAUACAUGGCAUAUCUUGAGGCAUCUUAUUUAAAUUUACCCGACACCACUUUCAAGGAUCUGAGGAGGAAACCUCCUGUCACUCGAACUCUUUUCCCAUGGCAGAACACCAUCCAAUUCAGCCUCACCAAGGACAUAAACAAAGAACUUGGAAUCGGAAAGUGAAAACGAGGAAGUUGAGGAAAGUGAUAACCUUCGUUCUCACGCUCAAACUUCCUUUUACAUGAAUUUAAUUGACAAUAAUUAAAUAAUUUUAAUUGACAAUUUAUUGUUCCAUGUUGAGUAUCAAUAAUUGUAAUAAUUUUCAGUUAGUUUUUUUCCUUCUAAAUAUGAUUAUCUACAUGAAUUUUUAAAAUAAAUUAUUGCUGCAAGAAUUGAAAAUGAGAAAUUUGACAUUGGUGUUCUUUCUAAAUUAAACUUACAACUCAAGAAAUUCUAUAGCCUCAUGUGCAUGGUUGGUAACUUGUGUUUACUAUCAUAUGUUGAUGAAUAGCCUAAAAAUCACUUCUAUUUCUACCUUGAGAUAUGCUGAUAGUUUGUUGGGUUUGGAUCAGGUUGUUGAAGUACCAAAUGUCAGCUGAGAUGAUAUUGGUGGGCUGGAAAAUGUCAAGAGGGAA